rnacentral:rRNA from 1 species
GAGUUUGAUCAUGGCUCAGAUUGAACGCUGGCGGCAUGCCUUACACAUGCAAGUCGAGCGGCAGCGCGGGGGCAACCCUGGCGGCGAGCGGCGAACGGGUGAGUAAUGCAUCGGAACGUGUCCUCUUGUGGGGGAUAACCAGUCGAAAGACUGGCUAAUACCGCAUGAGAUCGAGAGAUGAAAGCAGGGGACCGCAAGGCCUUGCGCGAGAGGAGCGGCCGAUGCCGGAUUAGCUAGUUGGUGGGGUAAAAGCCUACCAAGGCGACGAUCCGUAGCUGGUCUGAGAGGACGACCAGCCACACUGGGACUGAGACACGGCCCAGACUCCUACGGGAGGCAGCAGUGGGGAAUUUUGGACAAUGGGGGAAACCCUGAUCCAGCCAUGCCGCGUGUGUGAAGAAGGCCUCGGUUGUAAG